rnacentral:sRNA from 1 species
AUGUACCACUUGUACACCGCGGUUCUGAGCGCGCCGUCCACACCCUCCUGACGACUGCUCGCUACGUUUUGUUAGCC